AAUAACGGCUAUUUAAAUGAUCCAUGAAACGAUAAGUUUAUUUUUUCAAAAAUUAAUUUAAUCGUACCGAUAACCGCAUCAGGUCUCCAAGGUGAGUAGCUUCUGGCCAUUGAGUAAUGGUAAUUUAGGGAAUUCGGCCAAUUAGAGCUGUAACUUCGGGAUAAAGCUUGGCUCUGAUGGAAAUCAGAACCGAUAGUUACAAGGAGAGCCCAACUGUUUAAUAAAAACUUAGUGUCGCGUCAUACCUUUAUAAGUAAUAAACGUGACAUGAAUCCUGCUCAGUGCUGUGUUUGUUAAACUGGAUUAAUCCAUUUAAGCGCCGGUAAAUAGCUGGGGUAACUAUGACUCUUAUCAAAGUAGCGAAAUACCUCGUCACUUAAUUAGUGACCUGCAUGAACGGAGCUAUGAGGUUCUCACUGUCCCAAAUUAUCACUCAGCGAACCAACAGUUGUGGGAACGGGCACAAAUUAUCCAGCGGGGAAAGAAGACCCUGUAGAGCUUCACUUUGGUCUAAUCUUGUAUAGUUUCGUUAGGGGUGCAGUCUAGGUGGGAGAUUUUUAAUCAAAUAUGAGAAACCACUACCCUUUCUGGAAUUAUACUUACUAAAAUUCUUUUCUAAAUUUUAGGAUCGGAUUAGAUAGAAAGUUUGGCUGGGGCGGCACACCUUCGAAAAAGCAGCGAAGGUGUCCUAAGUUAAGCUCAGUAAGGACAGAAAUCUUACGUUGAGGAUAAGGCCAAAAGCUUAAUUUACUGUGCCUUUUUGUACUAGGAUCAGUUUGGAAACAAAGGCCUAACGAUCCCUAAUUAGUCUUAGGUGUGUAAGACUUGGGGUGACAGACAAGUUACCUCCGGGACAACUGGCUUGUGGCUGCUAAGAGAUCAAAUCAACGCAGCUUUUUGAUUCUUCGAUGUCGGCUCUUCCUAUCCUAGUGAUGUACAAGUCACUAAGGGUUGGAUUGUUCACCCGUAUUAGGGAUCGUGAGCUGGGUUUAGACCGUCGUGAGCCAGGUUUGUUUUAUCCUACUGGAUAUAAUUUAGCAUCUUGAUAGUAGUUUGAUUUAGUACGAGAGGAACUGUUGAAUAUGGUCUCUGGUUUGGGAAUUUUAUGAAAAUAAAAGUUCCAAAGCUACGCCGUCUGAGAUAAUGGCUGAAGGCCUCUUAAGCCAGAAACUCAUCUAAAAAUAGAUGCUUUA
rnacentral:rRNA from 1 species